UACGUAGGGUCCGAGCGUUGUCCGGAAUUAUUGGGCGUAAAGAGCUCGUAGGCGGUAUGUCGCGUCUGCUGUGAAAGACCGGGGCUUAACUUCGGUUUUGCAGUGGAUACGGGCAUGCUUGAGGUAGGUAGGGGAGACUGGAAUUCCUGGUGUAGCGGUGAAAUGCGCAGAUAUCAGGAGGAACACCGGUGGCGAAGGCGGGACUCUGGGCUGUGACUGACACUGAGGAGCGAAAGCAUGGGGAGCGAACAGGAUUAGAUACCCU
rnacentral:rRNA from 1 species